CUCGGAAUUACUGGGCGUAAAGCGUGCGUAGGUGGUUCGUUAAGUCUGAUGUGAAAGCCCUGGGCUCAACCCCGGGAGGCCAGGAGAUACUGCUGGGCUUGAGAGAGGCAGAGGCGAGUGGAAUUCCGGGUGUAGCGGUGGAAUGCGUAGAGAUCCGGAGGAACACCGGAGGCGAAGGCGGCUCGCUGGGCCUGUUCUGACGCUGAGGCGCGAAAGCGUGGGGAGCGAACAG
rnacentral:rRNA from 1 species